UCUUGUCGAGGUUUGAGCUUGGGCUCGC
rnacentral:sRNA from 1 species